rnacentral:rRNA from 1 species
UACGUAGGGUGCAAGCGUUAAUCGGAAUUACUGGGCGUAAAGCGUGCGCAGGCGGUUAUGUAAGACCGGUGUGAAAUCCCCGGGCUUAACCUGGGAACUGCAUUGGUGACUGCAUUGCUGGAGUAUGGCAGAGGGGGGUGGAAUUCCACGUGUAGCAGUGAAAUGCGUAGAGAUGUGGAGGAACACCGAUGGCGAAGGCAGCCCCCUGGGCCAAUACUGACGCUCAUGCACGAAAGCGUGGGGAGCAAACAGG